rnacentral:rRNA from 1 species
AUGGAGAUCUUCUUUCUACUGAUGACGCCACUGAGUAUCGCAGUCUUGUUGGCGGUCUGCAAUAUCUCACUAUCACCAGGCCUGAUGUCUCUUAUGCAGUCAACCGUGUGUGCCAGUACCUUCAUGCACCUCGUACCACUCAUUUCUCGGCAGUUAAGCGCAUUCUGCGAUUGGGCUGGAAGUCCUGAUGAUCGGCGAUCCACAGGGGGAUAUGCAGUGUUCUUUGGUCCUAACUUGAUCACCUGGAAUGCUCGCAAGCAAGCCACCGUGUCUCGUAGCAGUACUGAAGCUGAGUAUAAAGCAGUUGCUGAUGCCACCGCUGAGAUCAUAUGGGUACAGUCCUUAUUGCGGGAGUUGAGAAUCUCUCCAGGUCAUCCUCCAGUUCUGUGGUGUGACAACAUCGGUGCUACAUAUCUUUCAUCUAAUCCGGUGUUUCAUGCUAGGACGAAACACAUUGAGGUUGACUAUCACUUUGUUCGGGAACGUGUUGCAUAG